GGAGAAGGAGGAGCACAGCGAGGAGAGGGAGGAGCACAGCGAGGAAAAGGGAGAUGAACAACACGGAGAGGACACGUCACAUGAACAGGAGGAGCGUCCCUCUACUCCCACCCAUCUGGCCACAGCUGUCUUCUAAUGACACCAGUGGAACCAUACGUAGAACCAUUUCUCCCACUCUGCCAUCUACUCAUGCCAUCUCCCUGUUGCACUGCGGGACCGGAGGCCUUGAGGAUGUUCCACUUACUGCUCAGACAAACAAGCUCUUCCAUUACGGCAGAGUUUGUGCACAUAUUUGCCUUGUUCUGACCAAGAACGACAAACCUCGAGGUUUCUUUCAACACACACUCCACCGUCACGUUGCCUGGGUUAAAGUGGGUCACCACUUAGUUUACACUUUCAUAAACUGUUCCAGUCAUGUGAGAAUUUAAUGUCCAAAACAUUUCAGGAACAGCUAAAGGCGGCCUUGUUUUUGGCUUUAUAACAGUGCUUUUUUUUUUUUUUUUUUAAAGUAAUCUAAUAAUUUUAAAUGGUUUUAUAAGUUCAAGUUGAUGGAUUUCUUCAGUCGUCAGAGAAGCAUACAAUCACUUAAUGCGUUCUCCAAACUACCAGUAUUUGUGGAUAUAUAACAAUCUAUCAAGUUUUUGUUUUUCAGUGUUAAAUCAGUGUACAGCCCAGAGCUCUUUUCACUGUUGGUGAGAAAGGAAAAAGACGUCAUGAGCAUGUGAUGUUUGUCUGAAGAUUUUCAUCGACGUGCUGUGGACAUGAAAUCAUUUCCAAACCAGGAAUGUACCCUUAAAACCAACAGGAUCUUUUCAUUUUAGGCAUCAGAGACAGCUAAUUAUAAAGAAAUACACAUGGAGUGCAGAAGUUACAUUCGACGGGAACGUAAGUAUUAUUAUUAUUCGGUCCGACAUGAAAACAAUCUGCAGUGUAAAACUAUAUUUAAACCUGCAUGUGUAGCUGCCUCACACUGCCAGCAUGUCGUCUGUAUAAAAAGCUCAACUGAUCAGUUUAAGUGUGUAAGCUAGGCUUCAGUGCAAGGAAGCCAUCGGGUCUGUAACUGUGUAGAAAAGCCGCCGCACAGGGGCGCUAUAGUCUCCCAGCAUCAUGCUUUACGUUGUUCUACAAAAAGCCUCGUCAUUCAGAAAGUGCCUCAAGUGACAGAGAUGUAAGGUUUUAAAUGCCACGACAGGAGAGAUCAGGCAAAAGAUAACAGUGUUUAUUUUCUGAAUUACUUUAAGAGUGUGCACAAUAAGAGAUAUUUACUGUUUCAUAUAAAGAAUUGUAUAUGUCUUGAAAUGUUAAAAUGUUUAUGUUCAGAAAUGUUUAAACUUUAUAAAGGUUUCUUUCAAAUGAA